GGUGGCGUGGCCUAAUGGUAAGGCGUUGCUUUCCGGUCAUUGGAAUCUGGCAAAGACUGUGGGUUCGAGUCCCAUCGCCAUCG
rnacentral:tRNA from 1 species